rnacentral:rRNA from 1 species
UACGAAGGGGGCUAGCGUUGCUCGGAAUUACUGGGCGUAAAGCGCACGUAGGCGGCUUUCUAAGUCGGGGGUGAAAUCCUGGAGCUCAACUCCAGAACUGCCUUCGAUACUGGAGAGCUCGAGUCCGGAAGAGGUGAGUGGAACUGCGAGUGUAGAGGUGAAAUUCGUAGAUAUUCGCAAGAACACCAGUGGCGAAGGCGGCUCACUGGCCCGGUACUGACGCUGAGGUGCGAAAGCGUGGGGAGCAAACAGG